rnacentral:rRNA from 1 species
ACGGUGCCGCGGUAUAACGGAGCGUUAAAGCCGUAAUUGGCGAUUAAUUGCGUAAAGCGCAUGCAGGUGGUUUGUUAAGUCAGAUGUGAAAGCCCGGGGCUCAACCUCGGAACUGCAUUUGAAACUGGCUAACUAGAGUACUGUAGAGGGGGGUAGAAUUUCAGGUGUAGCGGUGAAAUGCGUAGACAUCUGAAGCAAUACCGGUGGCGAAGGCGGCCCCCUGGACAGAUACUAAUUUGCAGAUGCGAAAGCGUGGGGAGCAAACAGGAUUAGAUACCCUGGUAGUCCACGCCGUAAAUGAUGUCUACUUGGAGGUUCUGGCCUUGAUCCGUGGCGGGCGGAGCUAAGGCGUGAAGUAGACCGCCUGGGGAGUACGGUCGCAAGAUUAAAACUCAAAUGAAUGGACGGGGGCCCGCACAAGCGGUGGAGCAUGUCGUUUAAUUCGAUGCAACGCGAAGAACCUUACCUACUCUUGACAUCCAGAGAACUUAGCAGAGAUGCUUUGGUGCCUUCGGGAACUCUGAGACAGGUGCUGCAUGGCUGUCGUUAGCGAUGUUGUAGGAAUGUUGGUUGGAC